rnacentral:sRNA from 1 species
CUGGGAUUGGGACACACUUUCUGGGCACUGCUGGCCAGUCCCAAAAUGGAACAUAAGGAAGUGGUUCUUCUACUUCUUUUAUUUCUGAAAUCAGCACCACCUGAGCUAACCCCUGUGGUCCAGGACUGCUACCAUGGUGAUGGACAGAGCUACCGAGGCACAUCCUCCACCACCACCACAGGAAAGAAGUGUCAGUCUUGGUCAUCUAUGACACCACACCGGCACCAGAAGACCCCAGAAAACUACCCAAAUGCUGGCCUGACAAUGAACUACUGCAGGAAUCCAGAUGCCGAUAAAGGCCCCUGGUGUUUUACCACAGACCCCAGCGUCAGGUGGGAGUACUGCAACCUGAAAAAAUGCUCAGGAACAGAAGCGAGUGUUGUAGCACCUCCGCCUGUUGUCCAACUUCCAAAUGUAGAGACUCCUUCCGAAGAA